AGUGAACGCUGGCGGUAGGCCUAACACAUGCAAGUCGAACGGCAGCACAGGAGAGCUUGCUCUCUGGGUGGCGAGUGGCGGACGGGUGAGGAAUACAUCGGAAUCUACUCUGUCGUGGGGGAUAACGUAGGGAAACUUACGCUAAUACCGCAUACGACCUACGGGUGAAAGCAGGGGACCUUCGGGCCUUGCGCGAUUGAAUGAGCCGAUGUCGGAUUAGCUAGUUGGCGGGGUAAAGGCCCACCAAGGCGACGAUCCGUAGCUGGUCUGAGAGGAGGAUCAGCCACCCAGGAACUGAGACACGGUCCAGACUCCUACGGGAGGCAGCGGUGGGGAAUAUUGGACAAUGGGCGCAAGCCUGAUCCAGCCAUACCGCGUGGGUGAAGAAGGCCUUCGGGUUGUAAAGCCCUUUUGUUGGGGAAGAAAUCCAGCAGGCUAAUACCCGGUUGGGAUGACGGUACCCAAAGAAUAAGCACCGGCUAACUUCGUGCCAGCAGCCGCCGUAA
rnacentral:rRNA from 1 species